rnacentral:rRNA from 1 species
UACGAAGGGGGCUAGCGUUGCUCGGAAUCACUGGGCGUAAAGGGCUCGUAGGCGGCCAACUAAGUCGGACGUGAAAUCCCCAGGCUCAACCUGGGAACUGCGUCCGAUACUGGAUGGCUUGAAUCCGGGAGAGGGAUGCAGAAUUCCUGGUGUAGCGGUGAAAUGCGCAGAUAUCAGGAGGAACACCGGUGGCGAAGGCGGGUCUCUGGGCAAUAACUGACGCUGAGGAGCGAAAGCGUGGGGAGCGAACAGG